UUAAACAGUGAGACCUUCUUGCUGCAGAGAGAUCAGCGCUGAGAGUUUCACUGAUUCGCAAGAGCCAGGAACAGGCGAUACCUCCCUCACCGUGUAUUCCGACAGGACGGGGUCCUUAUCAGCUCAACGCAGAGCAUGAGGAGGAAGCAGCAGCAGCAGCAGACAGAGGUGAUGACAAAGACAGAACGACAGGCAUAGAUCCCCCGCUUUGCACUCUCAACAGGAAAUUUACCUCCUCUAAACUGUAGUUUGAUUGACCAGGAAGACAUGC